GUCCACGCCCUAAACGAUGUCAACUAGGUGUUGGGUGGGUAAAACCAUUUAGUACCGGAGCUAACGCGUGAAGUUGACCGCCUGGGGAGUACGGCCGCAAGGUUAAAACUCAAAGGAAUUGACGGGGACCCGCACAAGCGGUGGAUGAUGUGGAUUAAUUCGAUGCAACGCGAAAAACCUUACCUACCCUUGACAUGUCCAGAAGCCCGAAGAGAUUUGGGUGUGCCCGAAAGGGAGCUGGAACACAGGUGCUGCAUGGCUGUCGU
rnacentral:rRNA from 1 species